AUACGUAGGGUGCGAGCGUUGUCCGGAAUUACUGGGCGUAAAGAGCUCGUAGGUGGUUUGUCGCGUCGUCUGUGAAAUUCCGGGGCUUAACUCCGGGCGUGCAGGCGAUACGGGCAUAACUUGAGUACUGUAGGGGAGACUGGAAUUCCUGGUGUAGCGGUGAAAUGCGCAGAUAUCAGGAGGAACACCGGUGGCGAAGGCGGGUCUCUGGGCAGUAACUGACGCUGAGGAGCGAAAGCAUGGGUAGCGAACGGGAUUAGAUACCCUGGUAGUCCAUGCCGUAAACGGUGGGCGCCAGGUGUAGGGGUCUUCCACGACUUCUGUGCCGUAGCUAACGCAUUAAGCGCCCCGCCUGGGGAGUACGGCCGCAAGGCUAAAACUCAAAGGAAUUGACGGGG
rnacentral:rRNA from 1 species